GACGAACCGUACGAACGUUAUUCGGAAUUACUGGGCUUAAAGGGUGCGUAGGCUGCGCGGAAAGUUGGGUGAUGAAACUCCCUCGGCUCAACCGAGGAACUGCGCCCAAAACUACCGUGCUCGAGGGAGACAGAGGUGAGCGGAACUUAGGGUGGAGCGGUGAAAUGCGUUGAUAUCCUAAGGAACACCCGUGGCGAAAGCGGCUCACUGGGUCUCUUCUGACGCUGAGGCACGGAAAGCUAGGGUAGCGAACGGG
rnacentral:rRNA from 1 species